AUUUUUUUUUGGCUCAUAAGUAUAAUGAUCGGGAGUUCACACAUUUGUGUGAUAUGUGCCCCUCUUAAAUCUUGUUAGGACAUGGACACAUUAUCCUUCUGUCA